rnacentral:pre_miRNA from 1 species
CUUGUACUCCCACCGUCCAAAAAUACUUGUCAUUGAAAUGGAUGUAUCUAGAUGUAUUUUAGUUCUAGACACAUCCAUUUUGAUGACAAGUAAUUCCGGACGGAGGGAGUACUUG